UGGCGGACGGGUGAGUAACGCGUGGGGAACCUGCCCUGUACAGGGGGAUAACACUUAGAAAUAGGUGCUAAUACCGCAUAAGCGCACAGUAUCGCAUGAUACAGUGUGAAAAACUCCGGUGGUACAGGAUGGACCCGCGUCUGAUUAGCUGGUUGGCGGGGUAACGCCCACCAAGGCGACGAUCAGUAGCCGGCCUGAGAGGGUGAACGGCCACAUUGGGACUGAGACACGGCCCAAACUCCUACGGAAGGCAGCAG
rnacentral:rRNA from 1 species